rnacentral:tRNA from 3 species
GGGCGCGUAGCUCAGUUGGUAGAGCAACGCCCUUUUAAGGCGUGGGUCGCUGGUUCGAAUCCAGCCGCGCUCACCA